rnacentral:rRNA from 1 species
AUGCCUACGGGAGGCAGCAGUAGGGAAUUUGCGUCAAUGGGCGCAAGCCUGAACGAGCGAUGCCGCGUGGGUGAAGAAGGCCUUCGGGUCGUAAAGCUCUGUUGCGGGGGAAAAAAGGCAGCAUCAGGAAAUGGGUGCUGACUGAUGGUGCCCCGCCAGAAAGUCACGGCUAACUACGUGCCAGCAGCCGCGGUAAUACGUAGGUGGCGAGCGUUAUCCGGAAUGAUUGGGCGUAAAGGGUGCGCAGGCGGUCCUGCAAGUCUGGAGGGAAGCGCAGGAGCCCAACUCAUGCAUGGCUUUGGAAA